rnacentral:rRNA from 1 species
AUUGAACGCUGGCGGCAGGCCUAACACAUGCAAGUCGAGCGGAUGACGGGAGCUUGCUCCUUGAUUCAGCGGCGGACGGGUGAGUAAUGCCUAGGAAUCUGCCUGGUAGUGGGGGACAACGUUUCGAAAGGAACGCUAAUACCGCAUACGUCCUACGGGAGAGAGCAGGGGACCUUCGGGCCUUGCGCUAUCAGAUGAGCCUAGGUCGGAUUAGCUUGUUGGGGAGGUAAUGGCUCACCAAGGCGACGAUCCGUAACUGGUCUGAGAGGAUGAUCAGUCACACUGGAACUGAGACACGGUCCAGACUCCUACGGGAGGCAGCAGUGGGGAAUAUUGGACAAUGGGCGAAAGCCUGAUCCAGCCAUGCCGCGUGUGUGAAGAAGGUCUUCGGAUUGUAAAGCACUUUAAGUUGGGAGGAAGGGUUGUAGAUUAAUACUCUGCAAUUUUGACGUUACCGACAGAAUAAGCACCGGCUAACUCUGUGCCAGCAGCCGCCGUAA